rnacentral:rRNA from 1 species
UCCAGACUCCUACGGGAGGCAGCAGUGAGGAAUAUUGGUCAAUGGGCGAGAGCCUGAACCAGCCAAGUCGCGUGAGGGAAGACGGUCCUAUGGAUUGUAAACCUCUUUUGCCGGGGAGCAAAAAGCGGUACGUGUACCGCAUCGAGAGUACCCGGAGAAAAAGCAUCGGCUAACUCCGUGCCAGCAGCCGCGGUAAUACGGAGGAUGCGAGCGAUAUCCGGAUUUAUUGGGUUUAAAGGGUGCGCAGGCGGGGAUUAAAGUCAGCGGUAAAAUUGCGGGGCGCACCCCCGACAAGCCGUUGAAACUGGCUUGCUAGAGUGGGCGAGAAGUAUGCGGAAUGCGUGGUGUAGCGGUGAAAUGCAUAGAUAUCACGCAGAACUCCGAUUGCGAAGGCAGCAUACCGGCGCCCAACUGACGCUCAGGCACGAAAGCGUGGGUAUCGAACAGGAUUAGAUACCCGCGUACCA